GACGAACGCUGGCGGCGUGCCUAAUACAUGCAAGUCGAACGCAGUGGGGACGGGUGAGUAACACGUGGGUCACCUCCCAUCAGAGGGUUAACACUUGGAAACAGGUGCUAAACAGAUACUGAAGGAUGGAACCGCGUGGCAUUAGCUAGUUGGUGAGGUAACGCCGCACCAGGGCCACGCUGCAUAGCCGACCGGAGAGGGUGAUCGGCCACACUGGGACGUAGACACGGCCCAGACUCCUACGGGAGGCAGCAGUAGGGAAUCUUCGGCAAUGGACGAAAGUCUGACCGAGCAACGCCGCGUGAGUGAAGAAGGUUUUCGGAUCGUAAAACUCUGUUGUUAGAGAAGCGGUAUCUAACCAGAAAGCCACGGCUAACUACGUGCCAGCAGCCGCGGUAAUAC
rnacentral:rRNA from 1 species